AAUAAUGAAUUAAGUUAAAUUCUCAGCUCCGACUAUUGCAUUUCUAACUUUUUGAUUGACUAAAAAACUCCGACUAUGAGCCAAUAAUCGGAGUUUUACGUCAUAUGGAAAAUCUUUCUAAACUUUGAACACUUUCUUCACACUUGAAAA